rnacentral:rRNA from 1 species
GACGAACGCUGGCGGCGUGCUUCAUACAUGCAAGUCGAACGAGGUCCAUCGAGUGGCAACACUCGUGAAGACCUAGUGGCGAACGGGUGAGUAACACGUGAGGAACCUGCCCCGAUCUCUGGGAUAACAGUGGGAAACCGCUGCUAAUACCAGAUGUGCUCGGAAGACGACAUCGCCUACCGAGGAAAGCUUUUGCGGACCGGGAGGGCCUCGCGGCCUAUCAGCUAGUUGGUGGGGUAACGGCCUACCAAGGCGUCGACGGGUAGCUGGUCUGAGAGGACGACCAGCCACACUGGGACUGAGACACGGCCCAGACUCCUACGGGAGGCAGCAGUAGGGAAUCUUGCGCAAUGGGCGAAAGCCUGACGCAGCAACGCCGCGUGGGGGAUGAAGGCCCUCGGGUUGUAAACCCCUUUCAGCAGGAACGAAAAUGACGGUACCUGCAGAAGAAGGUCCGGCCAACUACGUGCCAGCAGCCGCGGUAACACGUAGGGGCCAAGCGUUGUCCGGAUUUAUUGGGCGUAAAGAGCUCGUAGGCGGUUCGACAAGUCGGGUGUGAAAACUCCGGGCUCAACCCGGAGACGCCACCCGAUACUGUUGUGACUGGAGUCCGGUAGGGGAGUGGGGAAUUCCUGGUGUAGCGGUGAAAUGCGCAGAUAUCAGGAGGAACACCGGUGGCGAAGGCGCCACUCUGGGCCGGUACUGACGCUGAGGAGCGAAAGCGUGGGUAGCAAACAGGAUUAGAUACCCUGGUAGUCCACGCCGUAAACGUUGGGCACUAGGUGUGGUCGUUAUCAACGCGAUCCGUGCCGUAGCU